UAAGCGUGAACGAAGUGAGUGCUCACAUUUGCGAACCAGUAGCGAAGUUGGACUUUUAUAUUGUUCUGGGCCAUAAUUCAGUAAAAAGCCUGUUCUUUUCUAUGAUGAAGCUUCUGGAUGCGAAUACUGUCAUCUCCAGGAGGGUUCUAUAGGACUGAUUCCAUCAUUGCUUGCUUUACAGUAUUCCUGUGCAGAACCCUAUCGAGAAAAAAACAAAGAAAAUGGACCCAAAACAAAACAAGUUUUGCAGUGAG